rnacentral:lncRNA from 1 species
GGGAGUUCCCUCUCCAUCCCCCACCCCCAGCCUGGCCCGGGCUCGGGAGGGGUGGCGGAGCCGGUUGUGUCACUACCUACGGCACCUUGCGCUCCAGACCCCUCCCUGGCACCGCUAGCAAAAUUCCUGAGCUCCUGACUACAGAGGAAAUAAUUGCUGAUGUGCGUAUGUUUUUACCCCUUAGCGACACUAUUUACCCCUGGUGGGGAACUUCGGCUUUUCUAGACCUGAAAUGGGAAGUUAUGUCACCCUCCAAGUCCUUUGUCUGAGAAAUUCAGUUCCGGUCCAUGAACACUAGCGCGCACCUGUGGUGCUCCCGGACAAAUAUUAGGGGCUCCCCAAGAAGAGGCCCUGGUUAAGACUUGCCCAAGUAUGCACACGAAACGGAAGCCAGAUCUGAAAUCAAGGUGUCAACAGAUAUGUUUCCUUCAGGAGGCAACAAAGAAGACUCUGUCCCAGGCCUGCCCCCCAGCUUCUGAUGGUGGCUGGCAACUUUGGGUAUUCCUUGGCGUGUCGAUGUGUCACUUCAGCAUCUGUCGCUCUUGUCACAUGCCCUCUUCUCUCUGUGUCAAACUUCCUCUUUUUUUUUUUUGUGCUGGGGAUUGAACCCAGGGCCCUGUGAAUACUAAGCACGUGAACUACCAGAGUUACACCCCUAGCCUUAAAUUUCUUCUGUGCGUGUGCGUGUGUGUGUUUGUGUGUGUGUGUGUGUGUGUGUGUGUGGCACGUGUGCGGUACUAGGGAUAGAACCCAGGGCCUUUGCCCUGAGCCACAUUGCCCAACUUUUUAUUUGAGACAGUGUCUAGAUAUGUAGUUCAGGCUGGCCUUGAAUUCUUUUCUUUUUGGUACCAGGGAUCAAGCUCAGGACCUUGCAGUUGCGAGGCAGGCGCAGGAACCACUGAGCUAAAUCCCCGGCCCUGGCCUUGAAUUCUUGGUAAUCCUUCUGCGUCAGCCUCCCGGAUUGCUGAGAUUACAGUUGUCCACUGACAGAAAUCAAGGCCCAUGGCCUCACACUUGCUAGGCAAGUGCUCUACCACUGAGCUAUAUCCUCAGCCCUGAAGAUUUUUUUUAAGCAGCUUUAUGAAUAUUGCUUCACGUACCAUACAAUUUGAGCAUCGAGAGUAUACAUUGCAGUCCAGUGUGGUAGUGCACGGCUGUAGUCCCAGUACUCUGGGAGGCUUAGGCAAGAGGGUCACAAGUUCAAGCCCAGCCUGGCCAACUUAGCAAGACUGUCUCAAAAUAGAAAGCCUUGGAUGUAGCUAGUGGUAGAACACCCCUGACCUCAAUGCCUAGUACCGCAAAUAAAUUAAUUAAUGAAUAAAUAAAGUGUACAUUCCAAUGGUUUUCAGGUGUUCUCAGGAUUCUUUGUUGUGGGGCUGUCUCAGGGAUGUAGGAUGGUGAGCAGCAUCCCUGGUGGGCCCUCCCCAUUUGUUUCCAGGAGCGCCACCUGGUCAUGACAAUCCGAAUUCUUUCCUGAUAUUGUCCAGUGUCCCUGAGGGGCUGAAUCUCUCAGCUGAGGACCUCAGCUAAAGCCCAAGGUCCAAGGCCUGGUCCUUGCUGGGUUUUCCUCCCUGACACAGGAAGCUCACAGAAAGGCAGGGAAUUGUCCACCAGCCCUCACCUUCCUGUGUAGAUAUUGAGGCUCUGCCGUUCAGACCCUUCACAGGCCCCCAUCUGUGCUUCCUGCUGCCCCUCCCCUGAGCUCAGCUGUCCAUCCACCUAUCCAUUUGCCUGUCCUUUCAUCUAUAUGAGGCUUUGUUGGUCUGGGCUGGUGAUGGGCUAUGGGAGAGGCUUGGGAGCCAGUGUACUGUCCAGGUUGGCCUGUGCAGGAUAACCCCUGCUGCAAUCAUGGCCACUGUGACAGAGAACAGAGCCUGGAUGGCCCAUAAACAAGACAUUUCUUUCUGCAGUGUGGAAGUCAGAGAUCAGGGGAGCACCGUGCAUUGAUGAGGGCCCUCUUGCAGUGCAGACUGGCCACCUCUCCUCGUGUCCUUACAUGGCAGAGAGAGGGCCAGGGAGCUCUUUGGGGCCCCUUUUAAGGUCACCGAUCUCAUUUAUGAGGGCUCCAUUCUCAUGAUCUUGUCAUCUCUGGACAUCCCUAUUUCCUUAACCCUUGGAGGUUAAGAUUUCAACAUAUGUCCCAGCACUUUGGGAGGCUGAGGCAGGAUUGAAAGUUUGAGCCCAGCCUGGGCAACUUGGUGACUCAGUGAGACCCUGUCUCAAAAAAUAACGGGCUGGGAAUGUAGCUCAGUGUGAAGGUCCUGGGUUCAAUCCCCAGUACUGCCGAGAGAGAGAGAGAGAGAGAGAGAGAGAGAGGAAGAAGAAGGAGGAGGAGGAAGGAGGGAAGGGAGAAAGAAAAAGAAGAGAAAUUAAUUUAAUACGUGAGUUCUGUGAGGAUACACACAUUCUAGUCACGGUCCCUCCCUCGGGAAGAAGUGCCCAAACAGAGGUACAAUCCCUGCCUGGGAAUCAUGGGGAACGCUGGGGAUUAUGGGAGUGACAUUUGAGCUGGGCUGUCCUGGGCAGGCGGCUAGGACUUGGGUGGGUGGGACAGGGUGGGAAAAUAUCUUCUGGACAGAAGGAAUAGCAGCGGGAGUAGCCUGGGCGCACCCAGCUUGGCAGGAAGUCGGAUAAUGAGUUCCAUACGUCGGUUUCCACAGGAGCCCUGGUCACAACCAUCGCUUGUUUGCCAAGAUCCAAGAAGGGUCAGGAGACUCAAGGGUCAGCACCACCCUGCUCCAUGGCUUGGCAGCCAGGCACCUGGGUUUGCUGACACCACAUAUCCACCUGGCUCUGAAGGGGAGUUCUCAGGUUGAGGGGUACCUAGAGAGGUGUCCUGCUGACAUUCUGCUUGGGGAGAUCUGCUCCCCCAGGAGGAAAGCAUGGAAAUGUGUUGUCAGAGUGCUGGCAUCUCCUCCCUCCCCUUCUUCCUUGUUUCUUUUUUUUGAGACAGGGUCUCCCUAUGUAGUCCAGGCUGGGCUUGGACUCACUAUGUAGUCAAGGGUGGCCUCGAACUCAUGGCAAUCCUGCUGGACGUGGUGGCGCACACCUGUAAUCCCAGCACUCGGGAGGCUGAGACAGAAAGAUCCUGAAAGUUCGAAGCCAGCCUGGGCUACAUAGUGAGUUCAGGGCCAGCCUGAACUACAAAGGGAGACCCUGCCUCAAAAAACAAAACAAAACAAAACAAAUCAUGGUGAUCCUCCUGCCUCAGCCUCUCAACCACUAGGAUUACAGAUAUGUGCCACCACACCUGGCUUUCUUUUUGGUUUUUUGAGGCAGAGUCUUGCUAGGUGUUCAGGCUGGCCUUGAACAGGUGUGCACCACCAGACCUGGCCCUUCCUGUCUUUCUUGAGGUGGGGUCUCUAUGUUGCCCAGGCUGAUCUUGAACUCAUGGGCUCAAGUGAUUCUCUUGCCUCUGUCACCCACACAGCUGGCUCUACAGAUAUGAACCACUAUGCCCCGAAGGAUGCUGGCAUCUUGUUUCCAUUACCACUGUUUCACAGUUGUUGCCAAGUGUCUGCAAUCUUUCCAAAAUGAAGUGGCUAUUAGGACAAAGGCAACUUGUGAGCUCUGCAGGAACCUGUUCAUACCUGUGUCAAAAAGAAACAAAAACAAACCAAACCUGGUGUAGUGUGGUGAUGAACACUUGUGAUCCCAGCAUGCAGGAGGCUGAGGCAGGAGGACUGCAAGCUUCAGCCCAGCCUGGGCAACUUAGCAACUUAUGAGACCCUGACUCA